UCGUACAACGGAGGCGCAAGGGCUGUCGCUGGCCUUCAAAUGUCGUGCACGCUCGAAGCGUCCUCUCGCACAUCCAUCUCACCCCCUUUGUGCAUCACCGCGUGGGUCCUCCUUACGGAGGGCCCGCGUUUUCACAUAAAAACUCGAUUACGGUAUAGAAUGUAUUCCUUUUAGUUUGCGGUUACACGCAAUCAAUA
rnacentral:misc_RNA from 1 species